UACGGAGAGUGCGAACGUUGUUCGGAUUCACUGGGCGUAAAGGGCACGUAGGCGGCUCGGCAAAUCGGUCGUGGAAUCCCGACGCUUACCGUCGGAACGGCGGCCGAAAAUACCGGGCUCGAGGGCGUGAGGGGUCACUGGAACUCCUGGUGAAGCGGUGAAAUGCGUAGAUAUCAGGAGGAACGCCGGAGGCGAAAGCGGAUCUCUGGGCCUUACCUGACGCUCAGGCGCGAAAGCUAGGGGAGCGAACAGG
rnacentral:rRNA from 1 species